UCCCUACUUCUGAGGGCUAGACUGAAUGGCGUGUCCUGGAUGCCACAGCCUUGUAUCCCUAGAACCCUAAAUCAGUUCCUUCCCGAGACAGUGUCCAGCUCAGCAUCUUCUUCAGAUUAUCUUAAUUGUAUGCCCUUACUAGGACACAUUUGAACAUCACAGAAGAAUACUUUAAAAAGAGGGACCGUCUCUAAUGGCAGGGAAGGUGUGACAGAAGACAGCAGAAGCGGGAAGCUAAGCAAUCACCUUUCAACCUCACAUGGGAAACAGGGUAACUGAAAGUGAGGUGAGACUCUAAACUCUCAAAGUGCCCCCCUCCCCCCAAAUGAUGUACUGCCUUCAACAUUGUGCCAGUCCUAAAAGCUCCACAACCUCUCCAAACAGUGCCACCAACUGGGAACCAAGUGCUCAGAUAAUGAGUCUGACAUUUCACAUUUAAGCCACUGCACUCCAGUCCCUGGCCCCCAUAGGCUCAUGGCUAUAUCAUAAUGCAGAAUGCGUUUAGUCCAACUCUAAAAAUUCUCCCACAGUCU